UGAUAUAUGAAUGUAAACAUUGUUGUUAAAUGGUUGCACGGAUGACGCAUCUUUCAUCUAUCAGAUCUGUUUAUGGGUUGUGUAAAUAUUGUUUUACGAAUGCGUUCGAUACCUUGGUGAUCAGUAUAAACUUUGAAAAUUUAAACUUUUGUUUAUAACUUAUUAUGUAGUGCAUAUGCAUGGACCCCAAUGAUGUACCCUUAUGUGAUAAACUGCAUGGCUUUCUUUUAUUAAAUUGUUUGUUGAGUAGAAUGUAGGUCUUUCGUGUACGGAAAGGACAUAUCAUCCCUUUCUUUGUUCGCACUGGUUUAUAAUUUAUCAAUGUAUGUGCGUGCAUGUUCUUAGCUCAAUCAUAUUUGUGAAUGCAUUGUUUUCGUCCAGCUUUUUAUAAAUUAUUUCAGUUAUCUUCACGAAAUGGAAAGGAUGAUUUCCCACACGAAAUUUGAUCAGCUUGCUUUUCAAUAUUUCUAUUCUCAUCGUUGAAAUGUGGUGAAUUUGAGGAAUUAUGAUCAAUAUUUCACUGUUUUUGUUUAAAUGAAUGGUUACUUCUACAAGUAUGCUUGAAAUCGUCUCUGAUUAUUGACCGUCAUGUCAAUGAUUGUUCCGGUAAUGUUUAUUACAAUUUGUCAGUUGUAUUGGCAGUAUAAACACUGGAGUCAAUCUGUCCCCCCAAUAACACUUUCAUACAAUAGAUUUCUAUUUAUAUUUAGGUGGCCUUCGGGUGGAUGUUAUCAUUCACUGUCAUGUUUUUGGGUGUUUGAUGAUAAAAUGUAACCGACUGUGAUGUAAAGUUGUUUAACAUGUAAUUAUUGAGUCUCCAAGCUGUGUUGAUCCAGUUAAUCCCUUGUUUUAAUCCCCCGUUUACCUACAUUUUUACAUUAAAAAGUCAACAUGACCGAGAAUACGUUUUUACUUGUCAGUCAGAUUGACAUUUCGAAUGCAGUUACGGGAAUAUUGAUAAAGGGAGCGGGGUGCACCCUGGAAAAGAGGGAUGCACAAAAUAAAACCGGUCUCGACAAAAAGGGAAAUACCCAUAUUCGUCCUUGCAUUUUAGUCCGUGUUCGUCCUUGUCAUUAUUCACAAUAUAGAUACAUGCAAUUUAAUACAGUUGUUAAUAAGUCAUUUUAACGGUACAAGGUAUUAACCUACAACAGGGGUGUAGUAGUGUAAACGUCCUUAUAAGACACAUAUAGUUAAAUACCCGCAAAAUUUGUUUCGGUAUGACCAUAAAUGAUUGUUCUUUUUAGGAGGGGGGGGGGGUCAUUUUUGUCUGGAACGUUGUUGGAUGAAAUUAUAAAGACUUUGGGGACAAUAGAACAGGCAUUGGAGGUCACGUCAGAACAGAUUUUGAAGGAAUUUAUUCUGUUUAGGAAUGUUUUAGGAACUGGGUUUGCUAUCUUGAACCAUCAUAAUGGUUUACUAACACUAAGUAAAUAUCUAUAGUGCUAGUAGUAUCAACUUAUACCAAGCCACGCCAGUAAGCUAAUAUAUUAUAGAAUAGUAUUUUAAAUAAUGAACUGGGUGGGGGGGGGCAACCCCUAUAAAAUCUUUUAUGAUAUUAAAAAAAAAAUAAGAUUGUAUCUGGAUUAUCAGUGACGCAAUAAAACAAUUCCUUCUAAAUAAUUCAUGAAUUAAUUGGCAACUUUAGAUAGAUUAACGCCCUGCCCUUGGGUCGCACUGGAUAACACCAGGCAUAAAAAGUGAAAUAGUUUUCUUCGGGAUUUGCAUACGCGUUAUAUUUGAACUAAAUGGUCCGGUAUAUUGAAAUACAACAAUGGGGGUAGACUGAAAUUUCUUAUUCUACAACGUGGCGUUGACAAAUUCGAAAUAUUAGUGCCAAUGAAGCGGGUUGUCUCAGUACCCGGUUUGGCUCUGUUAUUUGUGCAUCAGUUAUAUAUCUAAUUGGUUCCUCGUUUCCAUAUAUAUUGUAGAUCAUUUUGUAUAAUAGCAGAGGAUUGAUUUAUAAUAUCGCUUCAUUUAUUUCAACGCCUUUGGGGAUCACUCUGCUAGAGAGAGUUUUAACAAUCAAACUGUUUAUUAUUCAUAUUAUUAUUUUCCUGCAGCUAGUCCUACGGUAGCCGCAAAAGGUAUUUUUUUUUAAAAAAAAAUGUUUAAGUUUCAACACUUACUUCUUUGAACAUAUUUCAUUAAUUCGGAAAGCAGAUAUUUUUAAUAACCCGAGAUGGUAUGCCUGGGUAUUAUUUUAUUAUGCGUCAUAAUAAUUUGAUAAUUAUUGUAUUUUCUUACAACCGCUUUUAUGUGUUGCAUGUACACUAAGAAUGAAUUGCGGUAGGCUUGUGUAUUUAUUUCCGGCUAUCUGAACAUCUGCGGUUAACCUUGUUUAUUUAAUGCUCUAAUUUAUUUUUCAGCAUGAAAACUGUUCAGAAUAUAUUAAUAUAUGUGUUCAAUAUCUAAAACGUUGUAUAUCUGUUAUUGUCGUUUAACAUUUUAGAAGGUCCUUUCUAUAUAAUAUCCAUAUGUUCUUAAGUCUGUUACGCACAGUAAUACAAUGUUACUAGAUGAUGACUGACAGCUGCGUCAGAUGCAUAUAAUACAGUUAGUAGACCCAGUAACUAUAAUACACGGUAAUGCCAUUAGUAGACCAAUAACUAUGAUACAUGAUAAUACCGACCCAAUAACUAUAAUACAUGAUAGUACCAUUAAGUAGACCCAAUAACCAUAAUUCAUGAUAAUACCAUUAGUAGACUCAUUAACUAUGAUAAUACCAAUGGCUAAAUAUAAAAAUAUGAAGAGGUCAUGGCCCUGUGUGUAAUACGGAAAGAAAAUAUCUUAAAUAUUCCGCUAAUAUACCUUUAAUGUACUUUCAGAGGAAAUAGAUCAAAGUGAUAACAAAUUUGAAGAUGAACAACUACACGACUAUCCUGUUUAACAUGACGACGUCGCAAACUACGACGGACCUAAUUAACACUACGACAACAUCUACAGAGGUUUUGCCCGAGGCUAUGAACGACAUUACUUUCGACAGCGGAGUAACUUCGGCUGAAUUAGUCGUCAUCGGUGCAGGCAUAACAGUAGGAAUAUUAGCGGUUAGCGCCAUCUUAUUACGUUUAAUCAUGCCUUUAGUGAGAAAAUCUUAUCACAAGAAUCGGAUGCCGAGUAAAGAACCCAUUGAAGACGACAAAAACAGGCAUUUAUUUGCACCAAGUACACCCACCUCGAUGAUGUCAAGAUCUUCUCGAUCAUCUAGUCGUACUGGUGAAUGGUCGGAUAGUGGUAGCGAUAGGACCAAGACUACAUAUGCGUCAGAGGCUAAUUUAAUCCCCCAAAAUUCUUCUUACGGCAAUUUACGGGCGCAAAAACUGGUCUAUCCCAUGUAUUUACCUGAAUCAAAUUCUGCUUCAAUUGCUGAUGCCGACAGAUUGAACGACGAUUUGAUAUCUGUUAUAUCAACUAAUACUUUAGAAGCAGCUAACUUUGGAGACGCGUACAGACAAAACUGGGAUCAAACCUUCGAUCCUUAUUUACAGAAUGACUCAAGUUUAAGCUACAUUUCCCAUCCAUCAGAAAACCGUAAAAUACCCGAUAAAACUAAUGAAUGGUAUGCCUCUGAAAGCCCCAUGAGAAGAGACUGGGAACGAAGUCAAAUGAAUGGUGAGAUGUACAGACAUGACAUUAUGCCAACUAAACUGACAAAAUUAUGAAAUCAAUAGAGAAACCUAUAAUCAUUUUAUUGAAUGUCCCCAUCAUUCUCUUCUCCGGACCUCCAUUGCAAUCGUUCGACAAAUCAUGUGAUAUCAUUGAUUGCAAUUAUGCUCUUCGAUUAUUGAAGACUAUUACUUCUGAUAAGAAGUAUUAAAUAUUUUCGCGUGUCUUGGAUUAUCAUCCAGUAAGAGAGACGGUAUUCCUGCCUUUGUAAAUAAUUCACAAAUAAUUCCCCUUAGUUAAAUCCAUAUCCCGCUAAAGAGUAGUCAACCAUCUGUGUUCAUAAGAAUUCCAAGCAGUCUAUAUGUGAUGCUAUGUUAGUAUUUUCAUUCCUUAAAUCAUUCUGCACAAUUUUCAAUCCUCAAAUUAAAUACAGACUUUAAUCACAUAAAGCUUACACUCUCACCAAUGAACACACAUGCAAUAUAUACCCAAUCCGACCCCUUUUGUCACCUAAAUAAAAGCAUAAAAGCGGUUUGGCUGUAAUAAAUCAUUUCCAAAAUGCCAAUUUAGUGCUUGAACAUAUUAUAUAUAUAUUGUCACCAAGUUUAAGUUAUUAUAUAUCCCCCCCCCCCAAAUGCUUAUAUCCCAGUGCUCUGCUAUGUGAUAUUGUUAUAAAGUUCUUUAUAUAGUUAUUAUGUAAAUAAACGAUUUGUUAAAAAUUUA